GUUUGGUUAAAUGAACUUCUGCUGCAUAUUUUUUACAUAAUUGACCAUUUUGAUACGAUUUAACAAAAGUAUAUAACUUUGUGGUGUUGGGAAACUUAUUUCCCUCAUCAAGAGAUUGUUGCAUACAUGUACGGGUGAUCUAUUCCUAGACACAUUGGUUUAAUAAAGGCAGUUACAAAUUCUGUACGGGAAUGAGGAUUAUUUAUAAGACUGAAAUUAUUGUACUAUUUGCUGGAAAUGUGGAAUAUGAGGAAUUUAAAGCCAUCCGUGAGUAGUUUUGAUGAUUCAGCUGGAAAUGAUACAGUUUGCUCCCACCUUAAAACAGUACAUGAUAUAUCAUGGACAGGACACCAAAGACAAAGAAAGAUCUAAAUGCCAUAAUUUUUGGCAUCUUGAAAACUGGAAAGGCGGAUCUCUUUGAAGCAGAUGAUAGUUAUAAUGUAUAAAAGAAUUCUUUGCGACAGUUAUACCAGUUGGAACAGGUAAUAGUUUAAAUUAUGGAAGUUUGAAAUUACUUCUGGGAUAAAUUGAUACAAAAAGGCAUCAAUCAAAGCUGGGACUAUUAAACUAGUAUAAAUAAGUCCCAGAUCAAAGCAUUCAGAAGAUUAAAUAAAUUUUACUAAACAUACUUUUCAAAAUGUCUUUUUUAAAUUGAAUUAAAAUAAAAUUAUUGUUUGAAUUUUCUAGACACAUUCAUUUGUUUGAUGCUGCUUUAUUUUGAAAACUAGAAGUCAUUUACCAAUUACAAUGUUUUCCCAACUGACAAUCAUGAGGCCUCUUUAAUAAUCUCAAUAAAUCCCCACUUUCCCCCAUAUUUUUAGUUACAAUGUGAAAUUAUUAUCUGCAAAUUUAUGAUCUGUGCUGAAUGCAAUUUUAUACAAUUUUAUUCAUCAUGUUCAAACAUUAUUUGAACAUGUUGAAUAGGAUAAUAAUAUAAAAUUUAAAAAAAACAACUAUCAGACUCAAAAGUUACAAAAGAAGAAGAUUUUGUAUGAUCAUGAUGAUUGCCAAUGAGAAAAUCACAUGUACAACUACAUGUAUCCUCCAUAUACACAACAGACCAUGUCAUCUUAUUCAUUAUGUUUAUCAUGUUUAUCAUUAAUAUGUACAUGUACAUCCUGUACAUGUAAGCAACUACAAAUGAAUACAUUUGUAUAUACAUUUGUACAUGUAGAAUAGAUACAUGUAUAAAAAGAUGUGGUACAUGUAUGAGUGUCAAUGAUACAAAUCUCCAUCCAAGUCACAAUUUAUAAAAGACAAUCCUACAGUUAUCAGGAUAGUCAUAUAUGUUUAUGUCAGAUAUACAUGUAAACAGUAAGCUUAAUUUGUUAAAAAGCAGGAGCAAAUUGUUGCUUUUUAAAUUAUGAGAGUCAAAUUUAAUUUUUUUGUAAUUUUGAUUGCUACAUAUACAAUGUACCUAUAUUUUACAUGACCUUAUGACAUACGAAAGACACAUAUAUUUUAAAGUGGUUAUUGCAUAUAUUUAUUUAAAAAAAUAAAACUUGUAUAUCAAAUCUUAGAUAAUUGUAUUGUUAAUCCACUAUUUAGAUGGGUUCUUUUGGGACGGCAAUACCUUUGUUUCAUAAAUUUGUUGUUUAUUGUCCUUCAUCAUGUUCAUGUCCUUAGAAACAAAAUCUAGACAUGAUAUACACAAUGGCGGAUCCAGAAAUUUUCAUAAGUGGGGGCCCACUGACUGACCUAUGAGGGGGCCUGCUCCAGUCAUGCUUCAAUGAUUCCUAUAUAAGCAACCAAAUUUUUCCCCAAAAAGCCCCCUCCCCCCUAAAUCCGCCUCUGAUACAUGAUACAAGGAUUUCAAACUUUUAACAUUUAGUACAAAACUGGAAAAAAAUAAGCUUAUUUUGAGAUCUUGUCAUUAGUAUUUACAGAUACAUCAUUGUACAUUUGUACAUGUACAUGUAUGAUCAUGGUGAGCAUAUAAGGUUAGUUUGACUCAAAUAUAUCAAGUAAACUUGUAAAGUAAUAAGUAAAUCACAAUUUACCUUUCUGUUCUAAAUUGUUCAUUUAGAUCAUUUUGUACAUUAACCUGUCCAUUUAAAAAUAGAAUUAAUCAUACAAAAAAGUCUUGUAACUUUGAAAGGUUGAAUAAGUUUUCUAUGUUUUAAUAUGGUAAGAUGUUAAGAGAUCAUUAUAUAUUUUCCACAGGUUCUUAGGAUAAUAAAAUAACUAAUUUGAUAUUAAAUACAAUUUUCCAAAUUCAAUUCAAAGAAUAAUUGAUCACCUGAUAAGCUGUUAUUUCUUUAAACAGAUAAAAGAUACAUCAGCUGACAGACUUACAUGUAGAGGAGCCUUUAAUUAGAGAAAUGGAUCAACUUGAUUUUGAAGUUAACCUACUGCAUUUAUAUGAAAAAUUCAGAAGUGAGUACCAGUAUCUCUUAAAGUACAUUUUUUACAUGUUUAUCUUCAUUUAGAUAGAGUACCAUAUAAGAUAAAGUAUGAAAUGUGACAUUCUAUGCAAUUGUAACUUCAUUUUGAUAUAUAUAUUUACAUGUACAAUUGAUGCUAUACGUACGUGCAAGCGCAUAUGACAUUUUAAAUACAUGUAUCAGUAUACAGUACAAUAUACAUCAGUACAUACAUGUACAUAAUGCAAAUCAUAAUAAGAAGGCAUAACAAUUGAACUGUUUAAACAAUUAUUAGAUGACCCGUGUCACCUUAAUUUAAGAAAAAAAUAAAACACAGAGAACACACAGACAAAAAUUAAUGAGACCAUGUACUCCAGAUAUGCAAGAAGGCUCCCACUACAAAUGAAUAUGAAGUCCUGAAUGUGAAAUCCUCUAAAAAAUUAUAUUAAACUUCAAAUAUGUGUACUUGAAUACAUGUAUAUAUAAUAUUCAAAUUCAUCUUAUUUAAUAUAAUUAAUUUAAAACAUUUUCAAGCAAAAAACUGAUGUAUAAAUGUAUAGCUUAACUGUUCCUUUAUUUUUUUUUUUCAGGUGACUGAGCUAAAAGAAAAACACACAUGAAAAUGUAACCAGUUUGGCACCAUCAAAGUGACCAACAUAACAUUUGAAUACCUUUUAAGUUUUUUAUGUAUAUGUUUGACUUUUGGUAAUAUUUCGGCAGUUUCUUCAGUAAAUGAGACACAUCAAUGUUGAAAAUGACAAUUUUGAUAGAGGACAAUUAUAAGACUACCAACUUU
rnacentral:lncRNA from 1 species